CUUUUGGUUCACAUAAACUCACGUAACAAAAAGACUAAUGUGUUAUGAAUCUAUGAAUUAAGAAAAUAUAAGAGCUGAAGUUGUUGCAUGCCUUAGCGGUUGACUUCCUUCUUCUAGUUUGUAAGAAUGCUAGGAAGUGUGACCUAGUGAAUGCUUUUGCAGAUGCUCUUGUUUGUGCAGUUAAGAAAGGGAAUGUUGAGUUUAUGUUUCAAGUAUCAAUAGCAAGCCCGGAAAUUAUGCGUACUAGGGACAGUUCAUUUCGAAACAUUUCUGCUAUGCCGUUGGUUACCAACAAGCUUGGCCUUUCAGCUUCAUCCAUGGGAUUUGCUUCGAGGAUGUAGUUGCUACAAGCAAAAUGUACAUGGACCAACACCACAAAUGCAAAGAGAAUUGCAAUGGUUUAAGGAGGCGGAGAGGAUAAUAUCUGCAACUACUAAAAUAAAUUAGUGCAGGGUAGCUUGACGGCUGAAGAAUUAUUCAAAGAAAGUCACAAGGAAUUAAGGAGAAAAAUGGAUGAAUAACACAACAUCUCCUUAUUCCGUAAUAGUUGCCCUCACAAUUAUUUUGUUGUAGCUUUUACUGUUCCGGGAGGAAAUAAUCAAAAUUUCAUACCCCAGCAAUCCUUACCUCUCCCUUCUCAGAAGAAAAAUUCCUUAAAUCCUUACCCACAAAGUUGAUUUUAGGUCUUUGUUUGCAUUUUAUCUCCAUUAGUCAUAAUAACAACUUUUCUUUCUACCAUUCGUCUCAUGCUGAAGCAUACAGACUACUUAUGGAAUCUUCUUCUUAUUAUUAUACCAUCACAUGUUCCAAUACUCCUCUUUAUGCUGUCUCAGUUUCCUCCUCUUCGUACUGCCUUUUCUACUUACAGGGAUAUCUUUAACAGGGAGGUGCAGUUAUGACCAUGAAAAUGUACAAGUAAUUAAUAUUCCAUUAUGUAAAUACUCCUUUAAUGUGACUUUAAAAGGCUGUUGGUUGUAUUGUUCAGAGACAAAAAUUUAAGUUGUAUUAUUAAGGACUGACAAUAUAGCUGGAAAAUGGGAACAUAUCCUCUGGCUAUUGCAAAGGCUCACGGUUUGUAUGCUGAACUGAAUUUUUGUUGGAGGCAAGGUUUCAAACAUGUGAAGCUUCAUUGAAGCAGCAUGGAAGCAAUUAGUUUAUGCAUUGUAGAAUAUCAAAGACAUCACUCUUAUCAAGAUAUUAUCAAAGAUACAACUCUCUCCUCGAUGGGGACCAGCACGUAUCAUUAGACUGUGUAUAGAGAUGUAAUUAGUAGUAAUGCUUAUUCUUUAGCUAGGAUAGAACUUGAGAAUGAAGUUGAUUUUUGGUUCUGUGACAACCUACCACCUUGUUUUUGGAGGUAGUAAAUGAUGAGGAAUUAUUGAUGUUUUGGUUGUA